AUAUUGUUACAGUCUUGUUAGUAAUUUUUUAGUUUAUAAGCAUUCGUUAACCCCGCAUGUCAGAGUUUUAAUAGACUAGGCGAUACUAACGCACUUAACAUAAAGUGUUUGUAUACAUACUCCUUCUAGUUGAAACUGUGCAGGGUGGUACAGAUUGAUGAGCAUCUGACCUAGCAGCAAGGAUAUGACGAUAUGUUUUUAAUUACUA